ACAGGAGAAAAAUGCAGGAAAUAUAAAGGCAACCUGGGGUCAGUCCUAUGCAGUGAGCUCUUUGAGGUCUCCAUCAGAAAUAAAAGAUUUCAGUCUUUUUUGGCUGGGCACAGUGGCUCACACCUGUAAUCCUAACACCUUGGGAGGCCAAGGUGGGAGGAUUAACAAAAAAUACAAAAAUUAGCCGGGGGUGGUGGUGGGAGCCUGUAGUCCCAGCUACUUGGGAGGCUAAGAUGGUAGGAUCACCUGAGCCAGGGAGAUGGAGGCUGCGGUGAGCCAUGAUCGCACCACUGCACACCAGCCUGGGUGACAGAGUGAGACCCUGUCCUAAAAAAAAAAAAAAAAAAAAAUCAAUCUUUUCAUAGUUAUUCAAAUUAAAACAACAAAAUAGAGAUGUGAAGACUUGGCUCAGGAAGAUUCAGUCAUCUCAACAGUCACUGUAAAGAACUGCCAUCAGACUCCUUUUGACUCUAAAUGGCAAAGGAUACCAACACUGUUCUUCCUAGGAAGCUAAUCUAUAGUUAAAAUAGGCACAUUGCAUAGCUCUGUGUAUCUACAGUGUUGUAAUUGUCUAACAGAGUGGAGAUACUAAAUGUACUCAGUGCAUAAAACACAUUUUAUUUAAAAUAGAGAGGAAAUUCCUGAGGGAACAAUAAAAUCAAGGAUGUUACAGUAAUUUCAUGAGCCAUCCAGAUAUAAUUACCAACAAAUAAAAAUAAAAUAUUUCAUAAUGCUCUGUUUUAUUUAAAUAUUGGCUUAUAAGGCAUUGUUCUGUUAUUUUCUUUGGUUAAAACAAAGUUUUUAAAAUCAAUAUCUCAUACUUGUUAGUAUGUAUUAGUGGG
rnacentral:lncRNA from 10 species